UACGAAGGGGGCAAGCGUUGUUCGGAAUUAUUGGGCGUAAAGGGAGCGUAGGCGGUUCGGCAAGUCUUUAGUGAAAUCUCUGGGCUCAACUCAGAGUCUGCUGGAGAAACUGCCGGGCUGGAGUAUGGGAGAGGUGAGUGGAAUUCCCGGUGUAGCGGUGAAAUGCGCAGAUAUCAGGAAGAACACCCGUGGCGAAGGCGGCUUUCUGGGACGGUACUGACGCUGAGACGCGAAAGCGUGGGGAGCGAACAGG
rnacentral:rRNA from 1 species